UACGUAGGGGGCAAGCGUUGCCCGGAGUUACUGGGCGUAAAGCGCACGCAGGCGGUCUGUUAAGUUUGGAGUGACAGUUGGUGGCUUAACUGCCAAAGUGCUUUGAAAACUGACAGACUUGAGGGCUUCAGAGGGACACGGAAUUCCGGGUGGAGUGGUGAAAUGCGUAGAGAUCCGGAGGAACACCGAAGGCGAAGGCAGUGUCCUGGGGAGUACCUGACGCUCAGGUGCGAAAGCCAGGGGAGCGAACGGG
rnacentral:rRNA from 1 species